CCUACGGGAGGCAGCAGUGGGGAAUAUUGCACAAUGGGGGAAACCCUGAUGCAGCAACGCCGCGUGAAGGAAGACGGUUCUCGGAUUGUAAACUUCCGUUCUUAGUGAAGAAGAAUGACGGUAGCUAAGGAGCAAGCCACGGCUAACUACGUGCCAGCAGCCGCGGUAAUACGUAGGUGGCAAGCGGUGGCCGGAAUUAAUGGGUGUAAAGGGAGCGCAGGCGGGAAGCUAAGUCAGCUGUGAAAACUACGGGCUUAACUUGUAGACUGCAGUUGAAACUGGUUUUCGUGAGUGAAGUAGAGGUAGGCGGAAUUCCGGGUGUAGCAGUGAAAUGCGUAGAUA
rnacentral:rRNA from 1 species